rnacentral:lncRNA from 1 species
GGGAGCAAAAGUUUAGUUGAACCCACAAUCUCAGUUAUAACUGUGUUUUUUAUUAUGACAACUGAUAACGGUUGAAAUACCGUUAUUUUUAUACUUAAGUUUGACACUAAACACACCCUUUAUGACUUAGAAACUAGCUUGAAAUCAAGCUUUUUGCUUAAGUUAGAGAAUAAGAGAGUUGAAGGUAGCAUUAUUGGUAUUAUGCUUGGUUUUCC